GGGCGUAAGGGCGCGUAGGCGGUUUCUUAAGUCUGAUGUGAAAGCCCACAGCUUAACUGUGGAGGGUCAUUGGAAACUGGGGAACUUGAGUGCAGAAGAGGAGAGUGGAAUUCCACGUGUAGCGGUGAAAUGCGUAGAUAUGUGGAGGAACACCAGUGGCGAAGGCGACUCUCUGGUCUGUAACUGACGCUGAGGCGCGAAAGCGUGGGGAGCGAACAGGAUUAGAUACCCUGGUAGUCCACGCCGUAAACGAUGAGUGCUAGGUGUUAGGGGGUUUCCGCCCCUUAGUGCUGAAGUUAACGCAUUAAGCACUCCGCCUGGGGAGUACGGCCGCAAGGCUGAAACUCAAAAGAAUUGACGGGGGCCCGCACAAGCGGUGGAGCAUGUGGUUUAAUUCGAAGCAACGCGAAGAACCUUACCAGGUCUUGACAUCCGCUGAGGACCUUGGAGACAAGGCAUUCCCUUCGGGGACAGCGUGACAGGUGGUGCAUGGUUGUCGUCAGCUCGUGUCGUGAGAUGUUGGGUUAAGUCCCGCAACGAGCGCAACCCUUGAUUCUAGUUGCCAGCAUUCAGUUGGGCACUCUAGAGUGACUGCCGGUGACAAACCGGAGGAAGGUGGGGAUGACGUCAAAUCAUCAUGCCCCUUAUGACCUGGGCUACACACGUGCUACAAUGGAUGGUACAAAGGGCAG
rnacentral:rRNA from 1 species